ensembl:misc_RNA Metazoa_SRP Metazoan signal recognition particle RNA
GCUGGGUAUGGUGGCAUAUGCCUGUAGUCCUAGCUGCUUGGAGGCUGAGGUGGGAGGAUCGCUUGAGUCCAGGAGAUUGAGGCUGCAGUGAGCCAUGAUAAUGCCACUGUACUCUAGCCUGGGCAACAGGGUGAGAACUUGUCUCUU